rnacentral:rRNA from 1 species
GAUGAACGCUGGCGGCAUGCUUAACACAUGCAGGUCGGACGGGAAGUGGUGUUUCCAGUGGCGGGCGGGUGAGGAACGCGUAAGAACCUGCCCUGGGUAGGGGAACAACAACUGGAAACGGUUGCUAAGACACCGUAGGCAGAGGAGCAAAAGGAGGAAUCCGCCCGAGGGGGGGCUUGCGUCUGAUUGGCUAGUUGGUGUGGUAGUAGCUUACCAAGGCGAUGAUCAGGGGGGCGUCCGAGGGGAUGAUCCGCCACACUGGGGCUGAGACGCGGCCCCGCCUCCUGCGGGAGGCAGUGGUGGGGAAUUUUCCGCAAUGGGCGGCAGCCUGCAGGAGCACUGCCGCGUGGAGGUAGAAGGCCCGGGGGUCGUGAACUUCUUUUCUCGGAGAAGAGACAAUGACGGUAUCUGAGGAAUAAGCAUCGGCUAACUCUGUG